rnacentral:rRNA from 1 species
GACGAACGCUGGCGGCGUGCCUAACACAUGCAAGUCGAACGGGGGUAGCAAUACCUCAGUGGCGAACGGGUGCGUAACACGUGAAGAAUUUGUCUAACGGCGGGGGAUAGCCGGCCCGAACGGCCGGGUAAUACCGCGUACGACCUCUGGAGGGCAUCCUCUGGUGGGUGAAAGCCGCAAGGCGCCGAUAGAGAACUUCGCGGCCUAUCAGCUAGUUGGCGGGGUAAUGGCCCACCAAGGCGACGACGGGAGCUGGUCCGAGAGGAUGACCAGCCACAUUGGGACUGAGACACGGCCCAGACUCCUACGGGAGGCAGCAGUGGGGAAUAUUGCGCAAUGGGCGAAAGCCUGACGCAGCGACGCCGCGUGU